rnacentral:rRNA from 1 species
AGAGUUUGAUCCUGGCUCAGGAUGAACGCUGACAGAAUGCUUAACACAUGCAAGUCGACUCGAGUCUUCGGACUUGGGUGGCGCACGGGUGAGUAACGCGUAAAGAACUUGCCUCUUAGACCGGGACAACAUCUGGAAACGGAUGCUAAUACCGGAUAUUAUGGUUUUUUCGCAUGGAGGAAUCAUGAAAGCUAGAUGCGCUAAGAGAGAGCUUUGCGUCCCAUUAGCUAGUUGGUGAGGUAACGGCCCACCAAGGCAAUGAUGGGUAGCCGGCCUGAGAGGGUGAACGGCCACAAGGGGACUGAGACACGGCCCUUACUCCUACGGGAGGCAGCAGUGGGGAAUAUUGGACAAUGGACCGCAAGUCUGAUCCAGCAAUUCUGUGUGCACGAUGACGUUUUUCGGAAUGUAAAGUGCUUUCAGUCGGGAAGAAGUCAGUGACGGUACCGACAGAAGAAGCGACGGCUAAAUACGUGCCAGCAGCCGCGGUAAUACGUAUGUCGCAAGCGUUAUCCGGAUUUAUUGGGCGUAAAGCGCGUCUAGGCGGCAAGGAAAGUCUGAUGUGAAAAUGCGGAGCUCAACUCCGUAUGGCGUUGGAAACUGCCUUACUAGAGUACUGGAGAGGUAGGCGGAACUACAAGUGUAGAGGUGAAAUUCGUAGAUAUUUGUAGGAAUGCCGAUGGGGAAGCCAGCCUACUGGACAGAUACUGACGCUAAAGCGCGAAAGCGUGGGUAGCAAACAGGAUUAGAUACCCUGGUAGUCCACGCU